GAGCAGAGGAACAGGUCCAUGCACAUAGACGGCGCAUAAACUGCUGCUUCGAAAAGGGGUAAAUAGGCCGCAUGAGACUCCUACUAGCUGUAAUUCCCACUAUAAGCAUUUAAAUCAUCAGUAGUUUAACCCAGACAACCUUCAUGGGCAUAGACUUUUUAUAAAUUAAGGAUUGUAGUAAUUCUUCUCACGGAACACCCUUUGAAGAGCUUUUAAGCUGCGUACUGCCAGUGUCUGCAGUUUUGUAUUCUAAGCAGGCUGUAUUUGCAGCUGAUCACAUCUUAAUUUGUGUACAGUACUAGGUAGGUUUCCUGUCUUUGUGAAUGAUUCAUUCCCACAGACGGAGAAUUUAGAAGCAGAAAAAAGUGUUGAGAAUACAAGGGUGCCCUCGCUUUACUUGCAUUCCGAUUUCGGCACUAAUCCCACCUCACAGUCCUGUCAGACUCCUGUUCUAGCGUUGACUUUGCUGCAGGCAUUUUUUGUGCUCAGCACUCUCAGAUCUGCCACCUCCUGGGACCCCUAAAGAGGACUCUGAGAUUUCUGUGUUACCGGAUCAUUCACUUUGUGCCCUGAGGCAAAUUGCAGGAUCCCUGGAGAAAAGAGAAGAACAACACUCUGACGUGGAGGAGGGUACGCCAAACGCUGGUUCUCUGAUUUCGGAUUGUUAAAGCACAAAAUUGCUUUAAAUUGACAUGUUCAAGGUCCUGAAUCUAAUCUUCUUCCCCAUCAAACCCUGCGUACAUACACCAAGGUAUAUUCGUAAAACUGUGCGCCAAACGCUUACUGAAGCACAAAGCUCUCUUGCUCUGAUAAUAUAGUGUUUUUAUUACUUUUACCUUCAUAUGGUAUCAGAAUUUCUUAGUAUGUAUUAUGUGUAAGCUGUGGAAUGAUAUGUACCUUCAUUAAACAAGGUGCACAUGUCUGAACCAAUGCUUAAAGAUACAGAACUGUUAAAGUUUCAACACACUUGGUGUCAGAACAGAUUUUACAAAUUGC